GAUUAACGACUGGCGGCGUGCCUAACACAUGCAAGUCGAACGAGGUAGCAAUACCUAGUGGCAGACGGGUGAGUAACGCGUGGUCAACCUACCGUUGAGUGGGGGAUAACUAGCCGAAAGGUUAGCUAAUACCGCAUACGUCUCCGAGGGGCAUCCCUUGGCGAUAAAAGGAGCAAUCCGCUCGAUGACGGGACCGCGUCCCAUUAGCUAGAUGGUGGGGUAACGGCCUACCAUGGCUCCGAGU
rnacentral:rRNA from 1 species